CCUUGUGUGAGGAGGCAUUGCAUGAGAGAAACCCAGGAGCUAGCAGGUGAAACAUUUUUCAGACUCCUGAGAUCUCCAAGGUGUCAGCCAAGUUGGGAGCUAUCACAGCUACACUUGACAACCUGCUGCAAGAAUGCCAUCAGCAUUAGCUGAGCAUGAUGGACAAGCAGGUUCAGCUCAGCCUGAGGUCAAACCCAUCUGGAGUAAAUGAAGAGCCCCUGGACUACCAUGAGCUUGAUGGGUGGAAUGAGUGAGGCAGAAGUCUCACCUUGCUGCUCUCUGCCCUGAGUGCAGCUGAAGGGACUUCACUAACAUGCAGAGUGUGCUGGCCACAGAAACCUGCAGCAAUAAAGGUGUUAAUGAUGGUCUUGAUGUUCCACCAAUCAAGCUAUCCUUUGUUCUGCAAUUCUGCUGUCUGUCACCUGCUCCUGAUAAGGAAGCUUCUAUUUCACAGCCCUGAAGAUUGUUUUUAACUCAUUCCAAUGAAGCUAUCUAUGUUUUUGAUUCAAUCUUAAACUGCACAAUGCAGCCAUAGGCCUCUGGCAUAUUAGUAAAGUAUCUAGUUUCU